UUUUUGCGGUACUCUGACCGUGCAAAGGUAGCAUAAUCAUUUGCCUUAUAAUUGAAGGCUUGUAUGAAUGGUUUGACAAGAAUAAAGCUGUCUCUUUAUAAAUAAGUAUAAUUUUAUUUACAGGUGAAGAAGCCUGUAUUUUAUUGAAAGACAAGAAGACCCUAUCGAGCUUUAAAUAAGUUAAUAAAAAACGAAUUAUAUUUAUAUAAAGUCAAUUAUUAAAAAUUUUAGUUGGGGCGACUAAGGAACAGAUAAAGCUUCCUAAAAAUUUAAAUACCUUCAAGUAUUGAUCCAGAAUUUUUGAUUAAAGGAAUUAGUUACCGUAGGGAUAACAGCAUUAUCUUUUUUAAGAGCUCAAAUCGAAAAAAAGGUUUGUGACCUCGAUGUUGGACCAGAAUGUCCUGAAGAUGCAGCCGUCUUCAAGG
rnacentral:rRNA from 1 species